rnacentral:rRNA from 1 species
UUGAACGCUGGCGGCAGGCCUAACACAUGCAAGUCGAGCGGAUGAAGGGAGCUUGCUCCUGGAUUCAGCGGCGGACGGGUGAGUAAUGCCUAGGAAUCUGCCUGGUAGUGGGGGAUAACGUCCGGAAACGGGCGCUAAUACCGCAUACGUCCUGAGGGAGAAAGUGGGGAUCUUCGGAACUCACCCUAUCAGAUGAGCCUAGGUCGGAUUAGCUAGUUGGUGGGGUAAAGGCCUACCAAGGCGACGAUCCGUAACUGGUCUGAGAGGAUGAUCAGUCACACUGGAACUGAGACACGGUCCAGACUCCUACGGGAGGCAGCAGUGGGGAAUAUUGGACAAUGGGCGAAAGCCUGAUCCAGCCAUGCCGCGUGUGUGAAGAAGGUCUUCGGAUUGUAAAGCACUUUAAGUUGGGAGGAAGGGCAGUAAGUUAAUACCUUGCUGUUUUGACGUUACCAACAGAAUAAGCACCGGCUAACUUCGUG